UAUGGGCUAAUCGACGUGGGCUAACCCAGUUUAUGGCUCUACUGAGGGUAACAAAUUAUUUGGAAGAAUAUAAUGGAGGCCCAUAAUUAGAGAAAUGUUUAGUGAAGCAAUGGGAAAGGGUUAGUAAAGCAUAAUUGUGGCCCAUUUUCUGUAUUUAUUUGUUUGGCUGUCGUUGUGUUUAGACGACAUUGGCGAUGGAUUGGAGAAGAGUAUUUUGUAAUCAGGAAACAAAGAGAAUUAAGGCCGAGAAAUCUAUAGAUCUAUUGAGUUUCUUGUUUCUUCAUUGUUAUCCAACAACAACCAUUCGAAUUUCUUCAUCUCCUUAAUCUUUUCUCAUUAUGUACGUGGUUGCUCUAGCUUUCUUUGUGGUGGCUGCAACGAUGAACAUAGUCGUUCUGCAAUAGUUGUAGACCAUAAAAGGGUAGGAAGAUAUUUUAGUUAAUUCACUGUCUAACCUAUGUUUUCUCAUGUUUCUGUUGUGGAGUUUGUUGCACUGGAGCUACCGAUGCUCUGUAGUCUGUAUUCCUCGGCAAUCCACAAAGGUGUCUUUGUUUUGAGCAUGAAGAUGUUGUCGAGGUCUGGACUCUACGUUGAUUUACGGGAAGGUGGACAGAUGGACGGGCGUCUUACCCUAACAACUUUGCCCAAGGACUCUGCAAAUGUUUCAGGAUGAAUGUAUAUAGGCUGGCGCUGUAAUGGCUUCUAAAAAUCUGUGAGGGUAGUAGAUGAUAGUAAAAAAUAUUUUCAAACACACCUUUAGCAGCUACCAAAGGACUGUACCACUGUCGAAUGUACUCAGGUCUUAACCAUGGUUAUCUGUCCAAAUGCUUAGCAACACCUGCAAAAGUGAGCGUUUGAGACAGAGCGUGUGAGGGUUGGAGGUUGAUGCGCUGUGUUUGUCUGCUUGCUUUCACAGAACUUGAUCAUGGAUCGUCGGCGGUGCUGGUAUUUUUCUUCUUCGCCAUUUAAGUGUUUUGAUAUAUUUGGAGCUUGUGAAUGUCAGAGAUAUUUGAGAGACACAUGUAUGUAAGUAGCUUGUAACUCUGACUAUCUGCUCAUAUGGUAGUAUAUAUUUUCAUUUGGCU